ensembl:rRNA 5S_rRNA 5S ribosomal RNA
CCCUCCUGUCACACUGCUGGGUCUUCUCUGCUAAGCCGAGCCAGUCCUGGUUAGUAGUUGGGUGGGAGACCAACAUGGAAAAUGCAAGUGGUGCAGGAGCUC